rnacentral:lncRNA from 1 species
UUUUUUUUUUUUACAUUAAAAGGUGCUGUUGGGUUUCCUCCAAUCUUCAAAAGAAAGAGAGGAGCAGAAUGAACCCUUGUAAACUCCGCAGUGACUCUCUACACAGGUAUCUGUUUUUAUCUUUAUUAGUAAAAUAAUCAUAAUCAAAUGUAAUUGAGAAAUGCCACUCAAGAAUACUAAUCUUACAACAGCUAAAAACUUAUAAUAUAAGUACUGUCUAGUUCAGCCCUCAAAUCUAAUUAAAAUAUAUCUGGAGACAAAACAAAAAUACAGAGCUGAUUCAGUAGGUUAGAAUUUGAGACUUCACAGUAGCCAUUAUGUCCCUGUUUGGGACAAUUGGAUGUGAUUAUUUUUUAAAAAGCCUCUAACAUGGCAGGUAUUUGUAUAUGAAGACAGACCUUCUUAAAAUGCUCCUCACUUGGAUCAUGAGCAUUCCUCUGUGUGAAGAAAACUUUUCCUAAAGGACCACAACAGGAACCCAGGAAAAUACAAUUUUUUUUUGGGGGGGGGGUGGGCAGAAGUCAAUUUUGCAGCAAUUGUGAGAGGGCAGCUUCUGUACUGCCCCAGCCCCAGCCCCACCCCCACCCCCAUCCAACCCCUACCCCAUUGUGGAGCACCAUUUUAAACUUGCCCUCAGGUUGUCACGGUAUAUUUUAUGCAGGACUGACCUUAGCGGAGACUCUGCAUGCUGAUGUAUUAUUGACCUUCUUCCCCACUGCUUACUCAAACAGGCCAUCUGGGUACCAGGACGGUACAGGGAAUAUGUCCAACUUUCCAGACCAAGAUAAAAAUAAAUAAAAUGCGGGGGUGGGGGUGGGGAGAAGGAAGGCUCUUAGCUUGUACUAUAGAUUUGUUUAUUCAGACAUAAUUGGCGUGGAUCUGGCCAAGGCACAGUUUCAUUCUUUGUCUAAUCCACUGGCCUCCUAGCCCCUCCCCGCAUUGUUCGUCUCCAUUAAAGUGUGAUGAGCCACUAAGCAAGAAAGGAGGACAGAGAAGCAUUGAGGCCACCACCAACCCCUCAUUAUAGAGUCACACUUCUGGGAAGACUGGAAUUAACCAGGGUGUGAGGAUGGACACUGAGCAAGGGCAGACCCCAUCUCAGCCCAGUUUCCCCUGUUGAGAUCUGCUUCUUUCUCCCUUCUCUCUACUGUGCUGGGAGUGGGCACUGGGGAUCUGGAGCCUACUGAGCUGGUUAUCAUUGCUAGGGGUUUCUUUGGCCAGCAGAACUCAGCCCUCCCCUGGUUGAAUCACAAAGAACCCAACCUUCACAAGACAGGCCAGGCACAGUUAAAGCUUCCUGGUGACUUUUUCCCAGGCUGGAAUCCAUUUUUAGUGGCUUCACUUGGUUGAUCUAUGGGUUCCUUUCAAUGGUGAUAUUGACUUAGGGAACUAGCUCAGAAUGUCAGAUUCAGUUCAUACUGAACUACUCUGCAGUAUCCAAGGAUAUUCAUGAGUUCUCCACAGCAUAGAACACUACCAAUGGCGAAAGGAUUCUGCUUAAGCUUUCUUGAUCAUCAAAAAGCUCUCUUUUCUCUUUUUUUCUGGUGGUAAGUACUAUUUGUUUAUAAUUUAGUUAAGGAGCAUAUAGAUAUAGAUAUAGAUAUGUAGAUAUAUAAAAUAUCUUUAAUAAAUACUUUCCAUAGAAAAAACCUAUCAGUAAUAUCUUGGAUAUCAAUCUUAGCAAUAUCUUUCUGGAUCUAUCUCCUUAGGCAAGGAAACAAAAGCAAAAAUAAACUAUUGGGAUUGCAUCAAAAUAAAAAAAGCUAUUGCACAGUGAAAGUAACCAUCAGCACAAUUAAAAAGGCAACCUAUUGAAGGGGAGAAAAUACUUGUACAUGAUAUAUCUGACCAGGGUUAAUAUCCAAAGUAUAUAAGGAACUCAUACAACUCAACACCACAAAAACAAAUAAUCUGAUUAAAAAGGCAGAAGAUCUGAACAGACAUUUUUCUAAAGAAGACAUAUGGAUGGCCAACAGAUGAGUUAAAAGAUGCUCAACAUCACUCAUCAUCAGGAAAAUGCAAAUCAAAGCCACAGUGAUAUAUUACCUCACACCAAUUAGAAUGGUUAAUAUAAAAAAGACAAAGAACUGACAAGAGUUGUUGAGGAUGUGGAGAAAAGGGGGACCCUUAUGCAAGUUAAUGAGAAUGUAAACUGGUACAGGUACUCUGAAAAACAGUAUAGAUUUUUUCUUUUUAAAUUGAAAAUAGAAGUACCAUACAAUCCAGUAAUUCCAUUUCUAGGUAUUUACCUGAAGAAAGCAAAAACACUAAUUCAGAAAGAUAUACUCACCCCUAUGUUUGCUGCAAUGUAAUUCACAAUAGCCAAGAUAUGGAAGUACCUUAAGUGCCCACUCACAGAUGAAAGGAUAAAGAAGAUGUGAUAUAUGUGCACAAUAGAAUAUUACUUGGCCAUAAAAAGAAUGAGAGCCUGUCAUUCACAACAACAUGGAUGGAUCUAGAGGGUAUUAUGCUAGGUGAAGUAAGCCAGAUAAAGAAAGACAAAUACCAUAUGAUUUCACUUAUACGUGGAAUCUAAUAAACAAAACAAAUGAACAAACAAGCAACAAGAACUAAAGAGAGAAAGACUCAUAAAUAGAAAAAACUGGUGGUUAUCAAUUGCAAGGGAAUAUGAGGGCUGGGUGAAAUGGGUGAAGGAGAUUAAGAGGUACAAACUUCCAGUUAUAAAAUAAAUAAGUCACAGGGAUGAAAAGUACAGCAUAGAGAAUAUAGUCAAUAUUAUUGUAUUACACUUAUCGCUGUUAGCAUUUCAUAAUAUAUAUAAUUAUUGAAUCACUACAUUGUACACCUGAAACUAAUUUAAUAUUAUAUGUCAAUUAUGCUUCAAUUAAAAAUUUAAAAAUUAAAAACAUAGUGUUUUAGACUAAAUAUUUAGUACAGUUUGUUUUGUAUGGCAUAGAAAUGCAAUAGAUGUUAGCUAAGAACAAGUGAUCUCCUCCCUGAAGCCUUCUCCCCCCAUUCCUCCUAUCUACUCUCUCUCUCUCUUCUUUGUUCUUCCCCUUCAUAGAGAUUGCUAUAAUAUCCUCCAUUAUAUAUUUUGUUGUUCAUCUAUGUCUACCCUUUUGAGAGUCUGAGGGGCUAGAGCUGCACUUUAGUCAUCUGUGCCAACUCAAUCCUGUGCCCAGCACACAGGACAAAUUCAAUAAAUAUUUGCCAAAUCAAUGACUAAUUAUAGCUAGUUUGCACAGAUUUUCCUCAACUUACAAUGGGAUUACAUUCCAAUAAGCCCAUUGUCAGUUGAAAAUAUUGUAAGUCAAAAAUGCAUUUAAGGGGGAUCCCUGGGUGGCUCAGCGGUUUAGCACCUGCCUUUGGCCCAGGGAGCGAUCCUGAAGUCCCGGGAUCGAGUCCCACGUCAGGCUCCCUGCACGGAGCCUGCUUCUCCCACUGCCUGUGUCUCUGCGCCUCUCCCUCUCUCUCUCUCUCUCUCUCUCUCUCUGUCUAUCGCGAAUAAAUAAAUAAAAUCUUUUAAAAAUGCAUUUAGGGAUCCCUGGGUGGCGCAGCGGUUUGGCGCCUGCCUUUGGCCCAGGGCGCGAUCCUGGAGACCCGGGAUCGAGUCCCACGUCGGGCUCCCAGUGCAUGGAGCCUGCUUCUCCCUCUGCCUGUGUCUCUGACUCUCUCUCUCUCUCUCUCUCUGUGACUAUCAUAAAUAAAUAAAAAUUAAAAAAAAAUUUUAUAAAUUGCAUUUAAUACACCUAACUUACCAAACAUCAUAGCUUAGCCUAUCUUAAGGCUAAGAUAGCCUUACAUGCUCAAAACACUUACAUUAGCCUACAAAUGGGCAAAAGCAUCUAAUACAAAGCCCAUUUUAUAAUAAAGCAUUAAAUAUAUUUGUAAUUUAUUGAAUACUGAAAGCAAAAACCAGAAUGGUUUAUAUGGGUACAAA